rnacentral:rRNA from 1 species
UACGGAGGAUCCAAGCUUAUCCGGAUUUAUUGGGUUUAAAGGGUGCGUAGGCGGCUUUUUAAGUCAGGGGUGAAAACUUGCGGCUCAACCGUAAGCUUGCCUUUGAUACUGAGGAGCUUGAAUACACUUGAGGUAGGCGGAAUGUGACAAGUAGCGGUGAAAUGCAUAGAUAUGACACAGAACACCAGUAUCGGAAGGCAGC